GUCAACAGGGCCUUUGUUCUACCUGCACACACCGGCAGGCAGGCGGGCAGAGCCAGCCCCCUUCCCUGGCAGCUCCCCCACCCUCUGAAGGCAGGCACUCCAGGCACAGGGGCGGCACCUCACUACUCUCACUUCCACUUUUGGGACCACAGCACCGAAGCGGCACGGGGAAGCCAACACUCCAGGUAGGCCACGCACACACCCAGAAGCCCGCGUCCCCAAGUCCGGCGGGCCAGACCUCACGGCGCACAGCAGUACUUGCUGAUGCCAUGAGGCAUGACUCUCAUGAGGACAGUCAAGCAGACCUGCUAAGAGGUGCGUACAGCAAGAAACUGAGGCCUCUUGCCAUCAGAUCAUGUGAGUGAGCCAUCUUGGAAGCGAAUCCUAUAGCCCCAGUUGAGCCUUCAGAUGACAGCAGCCCUGGCUAACAUCUUGAUGGAAACCUCGUGAGAGACCAGAACCACCCAGACAAGCCACUCCUGGCUUUCUGACCCACACAAACCUUGAAAUAAUAAGUAAUGGCUAAUAUUAAGAAGAUUGAUAGUAGCAAGUGUUGAUGAGAAUGUGGAGCUACUGGAACUCUCACGGACUGCUGCUGGAAAUGUAAAUUGAAACAACCAUUUUGGAAAACAAUUUGGUAUUAUUUCUAUUACUUUCUAAAUAAUUGAAGGUAUGCAUUUCCAAUGACCCAUCCCUGAUGACCCAGCAAUUACACUUAUGGGAAUAUACCCAACGGAAAGGUGUAUGUGUAAAUGUGCAUAUCAGGAUGCAUAUAUAGAACAUUCCUAACAGCAUUAUUUAUAAUAGCCCCAAGCAAAAAAUGGACCAAAAUUUCAUUCACAGUUCAUUCAUACAAUGGAAUACUGUAAGCUAUGAAAAUUAAGGAAUUAUGACUAUACACAAUACCAGGAAUAGGUCUCAGAAGCAUAAUUUGAGUGAAAGCAGUCUGACACAGAAGAGUCCAUGUUAUAUAAUUCUAUUUAAAUGAAGUUACCCUUGGUGAGGUGGAGGGGCCUCAGGGAGUUGGCCUCCCAUCUCACCAAAUAAGACUCCAUGUCUUAUUCUUUACCUGGCUAGUGGUUACAUGGCUGUUCACUACAUGGUCUGCACAUUUUUGUUUUGUACCUUUUUGUGCAAAUGUACACUUUUAAAAUGAAUUACAAAACCACACAACCCAACAGCAUAACACCAAAAACCACAGUCCCAUGAGUCUGUCUUAAUAGCCCUCAGAGUGGGCUCAGCAGAUCAUCCUGGUGUGAGUUCAGUGAGUGCUGGUUUAUCAGGGCCAAACCAUGCAGUUGGCCUGUGGUUCUCUAGGGGGCAUGGCCUUCAGGAGUCCAUGGAAUGUGUAUUUCUUGGGUAAUUCUCCAUGAAAAAUAUUGCUUUAAUUAAAACUGGAGAACAGAGAGUUUGAGGUAACGUUCUCUGGUGAUAGCCUGACGUCCUGUUCCUCAGCUUGGCUGACUCAAGGUCAAUUGCUAUUGUUUAAGUGUUUGUCCCCUCUAAAACUCAUGUUGAGGCUGGGUGUGGUGGCUCAUGCCUGUAAUCCCAGCACCUUGGGAGGCUGAGGCAGGCAGAUCAUUUGAGGCCAGGAGUUUGAGACCAGCCUGGCCAACAUGGUGAAACCCUGUCUCUACAAAAAUACAAAACUUUGCUGGGCAUGAUGGCAGGUGCCUGUAAUCCCAGCUACUUGGGAGGCUGAGGCAGGAGAAUCGCUUGAACCUGGGAGGUGGAAUCUACAGUGAGCCGAGAUUGUGUCACUCUACUCCAUCCUGGGCGACAGAGUGAGACUCCAUCUCAAAACAAACAAACAAAAAACAAAAAAAACUCAUGUUGAAACUUUGAUCCCCAAUGUGGCAGUAUUGAGAGGUGGAGUCUUUAAGAGGUGAUUGGGUCAGGAGGGUUCUGCCCUCAUGAAUGGAUUAACCCAUUCGUGGAUUAAUGGACUAAUGGAUUAAUAGUUAUCAUGAGAGUGGGACUGGUGGCUUUACAAGAAGAGGAAGGGAGGUCUGAGUUAGUACCUCCGUCCCCUCACCAUGUGAUGCCCUGCAUUGCCUCAGAAUGCUGUAGAGUCCCCACCAGCAAGAAGGCUCUCACCAUGUGCUCCCUUGGCCUUGGAGUUUCCAGCCUCCAUAACUGUAGGAAAUAUAUUUCUUUUCUUUAUAAGUUACCUAGUUUCAGAUAUUCUGUUAUAGACAACAGAAAACAAAUUAAGACACCAAUCUGCCCACUUGAGAGAAGGAACGGUGUGAUGGUAGAGCUGACACCCUUGAAAGAAGGCCAGGGAGUCUCAGCCUGAUUCUUACCUGAACAUGUAACAACAUCCUGCCCUGGACUGGGGCUUCCUGCGAUGUGUCUGCCAACGGGGCCAUGAGUGCCUGGAUUGUGUGCUCCCCCACUGUGGAUGAGGGGAUCUGAAAGCUGGCCACCACGCGAUGUGGGUGGUGGGGAUUUAGGCUGGAUAUUUCCAAAGCUGGAGUUACCAAUUGCCCCAAGGCCCAAGAAACAUCUCAACACACAGUUCUCAUCAUGUCUUUAAUUUCAAACGGGGUAAUUGGCUCUCUUCAGGAUACUGCUGGGGAGUGACCGAGGUGACUGUAUGGGGUCAUGGCUCCAGUCACUUCCCACAUCCUUCUGCUCAUGGAAGCAGCCUCAGCUGUUCUGGCCCAGCGGACACCACAGAUUUUACCACAAGGUCACCUGAUCCCAGGCAGCCUGGCUCCCGGCUGCCCAGUGACCCAUGGAGCAGGUGAUGGUGGUUCCUGAACUGCUCUGAUGUGAUCCCUCUGUCAUUCCUGAUCCUUCAGGGCCAGAGAGGCAGCAGCCCCCACCCACAGCAAGACCCCGAAAAUUUGGGCAAGAGCUUGGGGCCGUGUUCUCUCUCAGAAGCUGGGGGUACUCUGGUUCUGCACACAGCUGUCCCCAAUCUGUCCCAUAUUUCCUGGGUAUAUACCACAGAGUGGAAUUGCUUGGCCAAAUUGUCACUUUAUGGUUAGUUUUUUGAGGGACUGCUAGACUGUUUUCCAAAGUGGCUGCACCAUUUUACAUUCCCACCAGCAGUGUAUGAAGGUUCCAGUUUCUCCACAUCUGCACCAACACUCGUGAAUUUUUAUCUGUUUGAUUAGUCAUAGCUGGGCCUCAUCUGCACCCAUGCUCUAAGAGAAAGCCUGCCUGGGAGGAGAAGAAGUCAGCCAGCAGGGGAGGGUGUCCCACCAAGUAUCAGGAGCUUUGGUUUGCAAGAAACAGCACAUCUACCUCAAAUUGGCUUGAACAAUAAGGAUCAUUUUAAUAAGUAGAGAUAUUCACAUACCAUAAAAAUCACCACUUCAAAGUGUACAAUUCCGUGGUUUUUUUUUAGCUUAUUCAUAGAGUUGUGCAACAAUCAUCACUAAUUCCAGAACAUUUCAUCCCCCCCAAAUAGGAACCCUACUCCCAUUCCUUUCUGCCCCCAGCUUCUGGCAACCAUGAACCUAUGAUAUGGUUUGGAUGUUUGUCCCCUCCAAAUCUCAUGUUGAAAUGUAAUCCCCAGUGUUGGGGGGAGGCCCGGUGGGGGGUGUUUGGCUCACAGGGGCAGAUCCCUCAUGAAUGGCUUAGUGCCAUCCCCAUGGUGAUGAGUAAGUUGGUGAGAUCUUGCUGUUUAAAAUUGUGUGGCACCCACCCUCUGUCUCGCUCCUGUUCUCACCAUGUGAUGGACCUGCUCCCCCUUCACCUUCCACCAUGAUUGUAAGCUUCCUGAGGCCCUCGCUAGAAGCACAUGCUGGAGCUGUGCUGGUACAGCCUGCAGAACCGUGAGUCAAUUAAACCUCUUUUCUUUAUAAAUUAUCCAGCCUCAGGUAUUUCUUGAUCUGCAGUCCAAUGCUCUACCACUGACCUAUACCCUCUCCUCUUUUUUUUUUUUUUUUGAGAUGGAAUUUCACUCUGUUGCCCAGGCUGGAGUGCAGUGGUGUGAUCUUGGCUCACUGCAACCUCUGCCGCCUGGGUUCAAGCAAUUGUCCUGCCUCAGCUUCCCGAGUAGCUAGGAUUACAGGUGUGUGCCACCAUGCCUGGCUAAUUUCUGUAUUUUGAGUAGAGACAGGAGCUCACCAUGUUGGCCAGGGUAGUCUCGAACUCCCGACCUCAAGUGAUCCACUCACCUCAGCCUCCCAAAGUGCUGGGAUUACAGGCGUGAGCCACCGCGCCCAGUGCAGCCUCAGAUAUUUCUUUAUAGCUAUACAAGAAUGGCCUAACACAAGGUACUUGCUGUUUCUUUUGAUGUGCCUAUACUUCAUGCUUUAUGUAAAAUUGACAACUCUGUGCUUGGCUUCUUUCACUCAGCAUUACAGGGUCUCAAGAUUCAUCUGUGUUGUCGCAUGUAUCAGUAUUUCAUUUCUUUAUAUUGCUGAAUAGGAUUCUAUUGCAUAAAUAUACCUCAUUUCCUUUAUCCAUUCAUCAGCUGAUGACCAUUUGGGUUGUUUCCACUUCUUGGCUAUUAUGAAUAAUGCUGCUAUUGUGCAGACAAACUUUCAUUUUUCUUGGGUAUAUACCACAGAAUGGAAUUGCUUGGCUAAAUUGUAACUCUAUGGUUAGUUUUUUUGAGAAACUUCUAGACUGUUUUCCAAAGUGGCUGCAUCAUUUUACAUUCCCACCAGCAGUGCAUGAAGGUUCCAGUUUCUCCACAUCCUCACCAACACUUGUGAAUUUUUAUCUGUUUGAUUAGAGCCAUCUUAGUGUGUGUGUGAAGUGAUGUUCCACUGGGGUGUUGAUUUGCACUUUCCUAAUAAAUGGUGACAUCGAGUAUCAUCCACUGUGUUCACAGGUCAUUUGCAUGCCUUCUUUGGAGAAAUGUUUAUUCAAAUACUUUGCCUGUUUUAAAAUUAGAUUGUCUUUUUAUAUUCUGGUUAUAGGCCCUUAUCAAUUAUAUGAGUUAAGAAUAUUUUUUCCCAUUCUGUGGGUUGUUUUUUUCACUUUCUUGAUAGUGUCCCUUGAUGAACAAAGUUUUAAAUUUUGAUGAAGUCCAAUUUAUCUAUUUUUUUCUUUGGUUACUUGUAUUUUAGACAUCAUAUCUAAGAAACCA